GAUGAACGCUAGCGGCAGGCUUAAUACAUGCAAGUCGUGGGGCAGCAUGAGUAGCAAUACUUGAUGGCGAUCGGAAAAGGGGUGCGGAACACGUACACAACCUUCCGAUAAGUGGGGAGUAGCCCAGAGAAAUUUGGAUUAAUACCCCGUAAAAUAUAGAGUAGGCAGCUUCUUUAUAUUAUAGCUUCGCCGCUUAUUGAUGGGUGUGCGUCUGAUUAGGUAGUGGGCGGAGUAACGGCCCACCAAGCCUACGAUCAGUAGCUAAUGUGAGAGCAUGAUCAGCCACACGGGCACUGAGACACGGGCCCGACUCCUACGGGAGGCAGCAGUAAGGAAUAUUGGACAAUGGGCGAAAGCCUGAUCCAGCCAUGCCGCGUGAAGGAUUAAGGUCCUCUGGAUUGUAAACUUCUUUUAUUUGGGACGAAAAAAGGGAAUUCUUUCCCACUUGACGGUACCAAGUGAAUAAGCACCGGCUAACUCCGUGCCAGCCGCCGCCGUAA
rnacentral:rRNA from 1 species